GCCAGGCAUGGUGGCGCACGCCUGUAAUCCCAGAUACUUGGGAGGCUGAGGUAGGAGAAUCGCUUGAACCCGGGAGGUUGAGGUUGCAGUGAGCCGAGAUCCUGCCACUGCACCCCAACCUGAAUUACAGGGCGAGACCUUGUCUCAA
rfam:Gorilla gorilla gorilla genomic chromosome, chr3, whole genome shotgun sequence